rnacentral:tRNA from 1 species
GGACAGGUGGCCGAGUGGUUGAAGGCGCACGCCUGGAGAGCGUGUGAACGGUAUCCCCGUUUCGUGGGUUCGAAUCCCACCCUGUCCG